ACGCUCGACACCUACGGGAGCAGCAGUCGGGAAUAUUGCGCAAUGGAGGAAACUCUGACGCAGUGACGCCGCGUAUAGGAAGAAGGUCUUCGGAUUGUAAACUAUUGUCGUUAGGGAAGAAAAAGGACAGUACCUAAGGAGGAAGCUCCGGCUAACUACGUACCAGCAGCCGCGGUAAUCUGAGCGGGCUGGCAAGGC
rnacentral:rRNA from 1 species